rnacentral:rRNA from 1 species
UUGACACUGAACAUUGAGCCUUGAUGUGUAGGAUAGGUGGGAGGCUUAGAAGUGUGGACGCCAGUCUGCAUGGAGCCGACCUUGAAAUACCACCCUUUAAUGUUUGAUGUUCUAACGUUGACCCGUAAUCCGGGUUGCGGACAGUGUCUGGUGGGUAGUUUGACUGGGGCGGUCUCCUCCUAAAGAGUAACGGAGGAGCACGAAGGUUGGCUAAUCCUGGUCGGACAUCAGGAGGUUAGUGCAAUGGCAUAAGCCAGCUUGACUGCGAGCGUGACGGCGCGAGCAGGUGCGAAAGCAGGUCAUAGUGAUCCGGUGGUUCUGAAUGGAAGGGCCAUCGCUCAACGGAUAAAAGGUACUCCGGGGAUAACAGGCUGAUACCGCCCAAGAGUUCAUAUCGACGGCGGUGUUUGGCACCUCGAUGUCGGCUCAUCACAUCCUGGGGCUGAAGUAGGUCCCAAGGGUAUGGCUGUUCGCCAUUUAAAGUGGUACGCGAGCUGGGUUUAGAACGUCGUGAGACAGUUCGGUCCCUAUCUGCCGUGGGCGCUGGAGAACUGAGGGGGGCUGCUCCUAGUACGAGAGGACCGGAGUGGACGCAUCACUGGUGUUCGGGUUGUCAUGCCAAUGGCACUGCCCGGUAGCUAAAUGCGGAAGAGAUAAGUGCUGAAAGCAUCUAAGCACGAAACUUGCCCCGAGAUGAGUUCUCCCUGACUCCUUGAGAGUCCUGAAGGAACGUUGAAGACGACGACGUUGAUAGGCCGGGUGUGUAAGCGCAGCGAUGCGUUGAGCUAACCGGUACUAAUGAA